UACGUAGGGACCAAGCGUUGUCCGGAAUCAUUGGGCGUAAAGAGCGUGUAGGCGGCCUAUUAAGUCUUGCGUGAAAUCUCGGAGCUUAACUCCGAAACUGCAUUCGAUACUGCCGUGCUUGAGGACUGGAGAGGAGACUGGAAUUUACGGUGUAGCGGUGAAAUGCGUAGAUAUCGUAAGGAAGACCAGUGGCGAAGGCGGGUCUCUGGACAGUUCCUGACGCUGAGGCACGAAGGUCAGGGGAGCAAACGGG
rnacentral:rRNA from 1 species